CAAAAUUUAGCCAGGAGAUAUCCUGCAAUUGAUUAACAAUAUUUUUAGAAACCUUUCAACCAUGUUUAAAUAGAAUUUCAUAAGUCAGAUACUGUCUGAUUGAGAAACUUUUGAAAAAUAGGUUUAUGACCUAUCACUUAUACAAGUUUAAAAUUUUAAAUUGUGACCAACAUAUGAAUAUACAUAUUAGGAUGAAAAUUAUAUUGCGAGUUAAUUUAGAUCUACUACUUCGUUCCAAAAACUGCUGUUAUGAGGAACAUUCUGUAAAACUUGUCCUUAGAAUAUAGAUAGAUUAUUAAUGUUCUAAGAACUUGUCAGUCUACUACCUAUGCAAAUAAUAUGGAUCUGUUUAUAAAAAUGCAGUUAGUAAGCUGGAGGAUAUGGUAGAAGAGGAAAUAAAGAAGAGAGGGAAAAACGUCAGAGAAGCUAAGAUGAUGACAUCAAAUAGGACAGAAUGGAAGAAAUUUAUUGAAUCAAAUUAGAAUUAUUCUUAAGUUGUUGUUAAGUUAGAAAAUGUAGAUAAUGAAACCCAUACACCGAAAGGUAAUAAAUGGGAUACAGAUUA